UGUGCCAGCAGCCGCGGUAAUACGUAGGGUGCGAGCGUUGUCCGGAAUUACUGGGCGUAAAGGGCUCGUAGGUGGUUUGUCGCGUCGUCUGUGAAAUUCCGGGGCUUAACUCCGGGCGUGCAGGCGAUACGGGCAUAACUUGAGUACUGUAGGGGUAACUGGAAUUCCUGGUGUAGCGGUGAAAUGCGCAGAUAUNCAGGAGGAACACCGAUGGCGAAGGCAGGUUACUGGGCAGUUACUGACGCUGAGGAGCGAAAGCAUGGGUAGCGAACAGGAUUAGAUAUCCCUGGUAGUC
rnacentral:rRNA from 1 species